rnacentral:tRNA from 1 species
GGAAGGGCCUGUGGCUCAGUGGUACAGUACCUGCUUGCUACGCAGAAGGUCGCAGGUUCAAUCCCUGGCAUCUCCA